AAACAAAAACUGCCAGAAACCCCAUUCAGAACUGACCUUUUUGUUGAGCCAUAGUACAAACUGCUGUUGUGCAAUGAUGUGCUUUAACUUUGUAAUGC